rnacentral:rRNA from 1 species
UACGUAUGGGGCAAGCGUUGUUCGGAGUUAUUGGGCGUAAAGGGCGUGUAGGCGGCUCAUCAAGUCUGGUGUGAAAUCGCAGGGCUCAACCCUGCAUAUGCGCUGGAAACUGGUGGGCUUGAGUUCUGGAGGGGAAGCUGGAAUUCCAGGUGUAGGGGUGAAAUCUGUAGAUAUCUGGAAGAACACCGGUGGCGAAGGCGAGCUUCUAUCCGCGGACUGACGCUGAGGCGCGAAAGCGUGGGGAGCAAAC